rnacentral:tRNA from 1 species
CGGGCAGUCAUUUCAGGUAGGGUGGCCGAGUAGGUGGCAAGUUGUAGCCUUGUUCACGGGGCUUAGCCCCCCCCAGCCCCGUGAAAGACCAAAGUGCAAAUUUGGAGAAGCACCCCAUAAAGGGUGCCGGGGCUU